rnacentral:rRNA from 1 species
GUCUAUAGCCAUACCACCCUGAACACACCGGAUCUCAUCUGAUCUCAGAAGCUAAGCAGGGUCGGGCCUGGUUAGUACUUGGAUGGGAGGAAGAAGGAGACAGGCU